ncrna:unclassified sequences skipping-rope RNA
UGAGAAUGAGAAUAGAAAAGCGAAAGCAAGUGACACUAUCACACCCUUUGGGUCAAAAGAGAUGUUGGGAUAGUCGCACCAACCAUUCUCA